UACCCGCAGCACAAGUGGUGGUCAUUAUUAUUGGGCCUAAAGCGUCCGUAGCAGGCUUGUUAGAUGCCUGGGUAAAUCGAUGCGCUCAACGCAUCGACUUCCGGGUAGACCGGCAAGCUCGAGACCGGGAGAGGCGUGGGCUACUCGAGGGGUAGGGGUAAAAUCCUGUAAUCCUUCGGGGAGGACCAGUGGCGAAGGCGCCACGCUAGAACGGCUCUGACUGUGAGGGACGAAGCCCUGGGGCGCAAACCGG
rnacentral:rRNA from 1 species